UCGGGCGGCCAGCGCAUCCCUGAGGCCGCACCGCGCGGGUGGCCCGGGCGGCGACGACGGGGGCAGGGGGGGCGCGGGUUAGCGGCCUCCCGGAUGCUUGCGGCAGAAGGCGCUGGUGUACCCCUAUCAUGGGCAGCAACCCCUUGGGAAGAGCUGAAGACCAGCCAGGGGAGAGGGAAAAAAAAGCACAGAACACAUGCUGGUUCCAGAUUCCUGGCAAGAAUCAGAGCGCCUGUGCUGUGCUGAAAGCUGGCCCAAGCACAGAGCAGCAGAGGCCACUUGGAGCAGCUGCUGUGGACUUCCGCCUCGCUGGACAGCAUCCCUUCAGAUCCAUCUUUUCAAGUUAAGCGGUCCAAGGGGUGGUAUCAGAAUGGCAGUGGACACCUGACAAGAGGUGCAUUGUCCUAAUAAAGGGCAUACCUGACUGUCCCCAGGAAACUGUGGCCAGGACACUGCUGAUCUGCUUGCUGUCAUCUCUCGUGUGGUUCUUGGGUGUCUCUUCAGAACACGCUCCGAGGCUCCUCUUACGUUUCCCUGCAAAGAACCCUUGUAAGGGGGCUGCCUACACAUGGCCUGCAUCUCCCGUUUCUACCAUUGAGUUAGGUAAGGCAUCCUCAAGCCCCACAGCUAAAAAACUUAUUCGUGUGUCCACUGCAAAGCCACCGACUAUCCACGAGGCCUGGCUCAGAGGCCUCCCUUGCAGGAGCCCAGAAGGGAGGUUCCGCCAGUGAUGAGCGGGCGCGUCCCGCUGGCAGAGAAAGCUCUGUCUGAGAGCUAUGCUCGGCUUCGAUACAGAGACACCUCCUUGCUCAUUUGGCAACAGCAGCAGCAGAAGUUGGAAUCUGUGCCACCUGGGACGUACCUGAGCCGGAGCCGAAGCAUGUGGUACUCUCAGUACGGAAACGAGGCCAUCCUUGUCCGGGACAGAAACAAGCUGGAGGUCUCCCGGGACACGGGCCAGUCCAAGUUUUGCUCUGUUAUGUAACUUCUGGUGUGAAAAGCGAGCCCAGGCGCCGCCCUGUCUCCAUCUCCAGCCCUUGCCCAGAGGUCCUGGCUGUGAACGUGAAGGCUGAGCUGCAGCGGAAGGACCCCAGGAUGCCAGGGAUGGCGCCCCAGCCCAUUUGCAGUCGGGGUGACUGGUGGACUUGGCUUCGGGCCUCCGUUUUGAGCUUCCGGGCGCUGCAGGCACAGCCCAGGCUGGGGCACGACGGGAUGCCACUCUGCUUAUGCUUCCAAAUAAAGCAAGCAAGAGGGACGUCCAGGCACACAACCUUUUCACAUUCUUACAGGUUGUUUUAGUGUUCGCUCUGCCUGGUAAAGAAUGGGUCAGGGGACUCCCCGUCGUGGCUCCGUGGUAACGAACCUGACUAGGAUCCAUGAGGAUGAGGGUUCAAUCCCUGGACCCCCUGAGUGGGUGGAAGAUCCGGCAUUGCCGUGAGCUGUGGUGUAAGUUGCAGACGUGGCUUAGAUCUGGCGUGGCUGUGGCUGUGAUGUAGGCCAGCAGCUGCAGCUCCAAUCUGACCCCUAGCCUGGGAACUCCCAUAUGCCAUGGGUGUGGCCAUAAAAAGACAAAAAAAAAAAAAAAAAAGAAUGGGUCAGACCUAGAAAAGGCUGAGGAAACUGGCAUCCUGUAUGGUCGAACACCCAUUUGCAGGACCAGGAUGGGUUUACCUUAAAUGGUCAGCAGCAGCAUUUCAGCGGGAACUCGGUGGCACUUGAAUUCUGAGUCUCGCUACCCAACGAUCACUGUGUGUGACCCACCAUGAUGGCUUCUGUCACCAGCUUUCUCAUGCUUGAGGCUUGUGGGCAAAUGCAUCCCAAAGCAUUAAGGAAACCCCGAACUAUUAAGUUACACAUCCGCUGCUUGCAUUAAUGCCAGAUUUAAUCAGAGGCCGCGACUCUCUCCGCCAGCGGUGUUUCAGCCUCCGCCCGGAGCCGGCAGCUCCCGGCCACGUGCGGUGUUGGAUGUGUGUUGACUAGUAUCUCACACAGGCCUCCUCGGCCCACCUCUGUGGGCAGAUUUAUGAGUCAUUUUUUACAAGGAUUUGCUGGCUGUGGUAAUUCAAGUCUGUGUGGCAGGGCAAAUGUGCAAUGUCUCUUGUCAAAGCGGAGUUUUGUUUCCUUUCUUUUUUCUUUUUUUUUUUUUGGCUUUUUGUUUUGUUCUGGAUUUUUUGGCCGCCCAGUGGCACGCGGAACUCCCAAGCCAGGGAUCAGAUCCGAGCCGCAGCCAUGAACUAAGCCACAGCAACGCCCGAUCCACUGUGCCGGGCUGGGGAUCAACCCUGCGUCCCAGCACUCCCGGGCCACUGCCGAUUCUCUUGGGCCACAGCGGGAGCGGAGUUUCCUAAAUAAAUCUCCCAUAGGGGCCUCUUUC